GAGAGGUUCCAAGAUAUUGAACAAAAAAGUCCUCAAUCCUUCUAAUUAAUCCCUGAUAAUCAAAUUAGAAAAUAUUGAUUGAGUGAAAGAUUGGUGAGAAUUUUGGACUACUUCCUAGAUACAUCUCUUUGCUUGGACAUUUUCUUGGAGCUAGAAGCUUCUACUGAUCAAAGGAGGGUUGGAUUAGAGUUUGUGACCAGCUUGGACCCUAUCUCUAUUAGUUUAGAGGUGGGCAAGCUGAACAUCAAAGUUAAGAAAGCGUCGAGUCUACCCGGGUCAGCCUUUUGAGGAGCUUCCAUUUGUGUAUAUUUUGGGGUGAUCGGGCACCAGAUCAGAGAUAGCGGCAUCGACCCGAACCCUGUUUUUGCCAAACCAACUAUUGCGGCUCACCUCGAGGUUCCAAUCCAACAUGUGUCAAGGCUUAUUGGGUGGUCCAAAUUCACCCUUUUGAAAUCAUUCCAGUGGCAAGAGUGGUCUAUGACUUUUGUUGUACUGUUUUUGAUAAUGGGAUUUAAUUCCCUAACUUGUGUUUUAUUCUGUUUAUAUGUGUUUUGGACUUAAGUGUUUGUGCAUAUAUAAGUAUAUGAAAGUCGUUUUGUACAUUUAAGUCCUUACAGCUCAUUGGACAUUAUUU